ACUGAAAUAGCCAAAUCUACUAAUCCACAUACUUUUGUAUAUAUAGUGUAUUUCUCCCCAAUAAUUUAAUAUGAUUGCUGGUUAUCUAGUCAAACAGCCCAUUGCUCAGAUCCCCAUCACAUCAACUUGAUUGUUUGUCUGUCCCUUGGCACGUUGUCUCUGUUCAUUUCAGCUCAUGGUUGUUGUUCUCUUUCUCUUAUUGCGAGGACACUUUGUAAACAGGGUCAAGAGCAACUGCACGUAUGUAAUUUCAACACCUACAAAUAAUACUGUAGGGACUUAAGUCACUAAGGUACAAUAGCCAAAUCGAAGGACACUUUUGUAAACACUUGCAAUUAUCUGUGUCUAUGUCGCAACAGCGUUUUUCGUAAAUAAAAUAUGAAAUUACCCUGAAGUGGUAUACCCUGGAGAUCCUAAACACAUGACAAAUGCGUCUGUACAAUUGAGCCGCCACCAGAGGGCAGUCAGUGAACACUUUGACAGCAAUAGUAGCAUCCUGUGGCAUUGAAUGAAAUGUUCUGUAAUAUGUGAAAACAAAAACUCAUGUUUUCGUAAUAUGUGUGCAUUACAAGAGACACUGACAAGGUUUUGAUCAGAGUCAAAUUUUGGAUACACCAAGAUUCUCAGUGAGAAAAGAGUCUGCUUUUGAGAGUGGAGACUGUGAGGAUGUUGAGACCAAUGGAAAUGAAAUGUUCAGACCAACAGAAACGAGAGACUUGAAUAAACAUGGAUCAGAGAGUGGUGGAGACAAGGAAAAUUGCCAGAGAUGUUGUGUGUCUUCUCUGUCCUACGAUGACAUUGCCGAGGAGGAGAGCGUCCCAGCUCAACCCUUAACCAGUGAAAGAUAUGGAACCAGUAGCCUGAAGCCCAGAGGCAGGAGCUGCUGCUAACCACGGACAUGCUACCUACGAGGUGGAGGAAGAUCCACAGGAGAGCUGCGAUGAUGUGGUGUCGAUGACCACGCCAGCUGAGGAGACCAGAGAGGAGGUUGCAGAAGUCAUUGAGAGACCCAAACCCAAGGACCUGGAUGUCCACGAUGAUGAGGAGGGUGACCUGGAGCCUAAUGGACAGGAGUGAGCAACAUGGAGGCUUGACAUGAUCUGUUGUCAAACAGAAGUAUGAGAGGGGGUGUUUUGAUGAUGUUUUUACGUUGGCACUUUGCAUUGUUCUCACGCAUUUGAGAAAUACACGUUUUUCCGUAUAUAGUAAUUACCUAGCAAUUUGGCACAUUUUUCAUGUCAUGUAAAAUUAGUACGGUAUGGUUUAUUAAUUUUUACAAAAUAGAGAAAACAUGUUAUCGCAUCAAAUUCUUAAGAAUAUUUUGUAUUCAUUAAACUUGCCAUUUCAAAUGUCUUGUAACAUCUCUUUUUAGGAUCCCAAAGUUGGCAUCAAAAAUCUGGGUAUCUGCAUAAGAACCUCACGUUCCCUUUUCAUCGGUUCACUUAUAAUAUUGCUGGUUCUUUUUCAUAUGUGAGGAUCCAAUUAUUACAAUUACUUGACCCUUUUCUGUCUCUAACAUUUGAUACCGUUUCAAAUGUUUUGAUUCAUUUGACAUGUUUCGAUUGGUUUGUUGUGCCACGGCCUGUAAAGCAGAACUGAUUGACACAGAACAGAAUCAAUGGUGUCUGUCUUACAACAUGUAUUAGUGAAACAUGAUCUUGCUAUGUGAUAGUUCCUUCCAUAAAGAACAGCAUGUGAAAAUUCUUAAUUGCACUUUAUGCGUCAAAGCUCAUAGCCAACAGCUGUUUUUCAAUGACUUUUAUCGUGUUUUUUUGUUGUUGCUACUUUUACCAUUUAUAAAUGCAAAAUUUACAUUUUUUAAAUUUGUAAAUGCAAUAACAUUGUGCACUGAAAUGAUGUUGUUUUUAUUCUCCUCUUCAACUUCUCAGUAUUUAUGUGUUUAUGAAAGUUCUUAUUCAGAUUUUACACAAUAAUAAUUUCAAUGUUAGAUUUUUGACCUUUUGAAUUGAUUAUAUUUGAAGGUUUAUAAAAUAUGAACGUAUUAGUUCACAGGGUUUAUCUCAUAGCUAUGUAUUUUAUUUGUUUAAACAUGUUUGUUUAGAGUUUUGUUUUCUUUAUGAAAUCAUGUUUGAGAUUUUGGUGUUUGGAAUUUUAAGAAUAUUGUCAAUAGUGGAGAAAACAAUCAGUGUAAAUUAGAAAACUAACUUAAAUGUGAAAAAUGAAACAAAUUGAGAUGAUGAUGAGAGGUAUAAAAUGAAUUACAAUUAAGAAUACUUCCAAUGAUUAUUUGAUGUACAGUGUCAGAUUUUCUUUAUUAUGUCUUUCGCAAUUGAAGAAAAUGAAAAUAUACUGCUUUAAUAAUGUACUGUGCUGUCAGUAAUGAUUUUGUAAGGAGACUAAAUUAUUGGCUCUAUUGAUGCUGUCGUGUUAAUUUAACAUUUUACAUUGUGAAAUUAUUCAUAUGAUGGUAAUUUAAAAAAAAAUACUGAUCUUUAUAUUUUGAAGGUUUACAAUGCCUAACAAUAUGACAUUUUAGACAAGUAAAAACAGUGAAGGUUAAACUGUCUAUGCACAUACAGUAUGCAGUGCAGUGGAAUCAAAAAUGUGAUUUUCCUGUGUUUUAUAUAUAUUUUCACACUGUGAGUUUGGAGCAAUACUGUGAAAUAGUGAAAAUUAUGAUAAUGCCCUUUUAGUGUAAGAGCUGCCUGAAAUGUCUGCCUGUUUUGGUGGGAUGGAGUUUUCGCCUGCCUGGUGGGAUGGAGUUUUGGCCUGCCUGGUGGGAUGGAGUUAUGGCCAGCAUGGUGACAUCAUUACACAACGGGUGGGUCUAAUCCUGGAUGGUGAUUGGUUAAAACCGCAUUCCAGCCUGUGUCUAUUCCACAAGUUACCACCAGCUAAAUCUAUGAUGUUGAAAUGCCUAUUUACUCUGUUCCAUCUGACUGAGCAAUCUAUUGUCUCAUCAGCUCAGCCAGGCAAUUUAUAAAGUUGAUCUACACUAUGAAAAGCAUUUAGACCUUUUCUCCCAUUUCUUUUAGACUAGCAUUUGGUUUUCAACAGCAUAACAGUAAUAUCUUUGCUGUCUCUCAUUCAAUCUCCAGCUGUCCUAUGUGGUAAUGAACGUGUCAGGAGUCGGGAUGAGACA